CUAAAUGCAGUCGAGCGGACUUACGCAAAACACUGGUGUGUUUUGCGAAUGAAUAAUGAAGAAUGAACAAUGAAUAAUGGAGGUUAGAUUAGUGAAACAAGCGGGAACACAGAAUACAAACUAACUAGAAUUAUUCNCUAUUCAUUAUUCAUUAUUCAUUGUGAAGCAAAACACAGAGUGUUUUGCGUAAGUUAGCGGCGGACGGGUGAGGAACACGUGGAUGACCUGCCUUUGACUUCGGAAUAACGUCCAGAAAUGGACGCUAAUGCCGAAUAAGCUCACGAUGCGACAUCGUAAAGUGAGAAAAGAUUUAUUGGUCAAAGAGGGGUCCGCGGCUGAUUAGCUAGUUGGCGGGGUAACGGCCCACCAAGGCGACGAUCAGUAGCCGAUCUGAGAGGAUGACCGGCCACAUUGGGACUGAGACACGGCCCAAACUCCUACGGGAGGCAGCAGUGGGGAAUAUUGCGCAAUGGGGGAAACCCUGACGCAGCAACGCCGCGUGAAGGACGACGGUCUUCGGAUUGUAAACUUCUAUCGACAGGGAAGAAAAAAUGACGGUACCUGAAUAAGAAGCACCGGCUAACUACGUGCCAGCAGCCGCGGUAAUACGUAGGGUGCAAGCGUUAUCCGGAAUUACUGGGUGUAAAGGGUGAGUAGGCGGUUUGAUAAGUCAUAUGUGAAAAUCCUGGGCUUAACCCCGGACGUGCAUAAGAAACUGUCAGACUUGAGUACNGGAGAGGUAAGCGGAAUUCCUAGUGUAGCGGUGAAAUGCGUAGAUAUUAGGAAGAACACCGUGGCGAAGGCGGCUUACUGGACUGAAACUGACGCUGAGUCACNGAAAGCCGUGGGGAGCAAACAGGAUUAGAUACCCCUGGUAGUCCACCGCCCCUAAACCNAUGAGUGCUAGGUGUCCGGGGCCGAGAGCNUCCGGUGCCCCCANCUAACCCAAUAAGCCCNCCCCCCUGGGGGAGUNCNUACCCCAGUAUGAA
rnacentral:rRNA from 1 species